UGAGGAACAUGACCUUCGGCGGGGGAUAGCCGGCCCAACGGCCGGGUAAUACCGCGUACGACCUUCCGGGACAUCCCUGGAUGGUGAAAGCAGCAAUGCGCCGAUGGAGUGCCUCGCGGCCUAUCAGCUAGUUGGUGAGGUAACGGCUCACCAAGGCGACGACGGGUAGCUGGUCUGAGAGGAUGGCCAGCCACAUUGGGACUGAGACACGGCCCAGACUCCGUACGGGAGCAG
rnacentral:rRNA from 1 species